rnacentral:lncRNA from 1 species
GUUAAAAUGUGGGCACUUUCUAACCCUUUUGAAUUUCUCAAAUAUGUUUACCUUUCUAGGUUUCUCUUUAUUUCUGUUUCCCUUUCAAAUAAGUGUAGAGAUUAAAUUGUAAAGCCUGCCUAUUUUUAGAUUUAAUCACCAAAAGUGUAAACACCUACUUACAGUAGUGGGGAGAUCUGCCCAUUUUUUAGAUUUAAUCACCAAAGGUGUAAACACACAUUAAGAGGGAGGUCUGUGACACACACAUGAAAUAGUGGGUAAUGAAUCAAAAUCAACUGACUUUUCCUGGGCCGUCCUAAAAGCAAAAGCAUCAACUGUGAUUGGUAGAUGUAAAAAUUAGGGGAAGUGAUGCAAAAGAAAGUGCCUUUAAAAGGGAGUGACAACUGCCUGAGUGCAGUUGGACUUGGAACUUUCACUUGGAGUGGAACCUCCUGUGAGAGAAAGUUCUACUGGGAGCUCUACUGGGAGUUUGAAUUGGGAUGGAGGCUGAUAAAGAAUCUGCUUACUGGACUGACAUGUGAUUUUCUGUCAGAGCCAGGCCUCUUAACUAUCAAUAAGAAAUAACAAAGCAAGAAGAGGGCCAACCCUUCAUCUGCAUAAGAAGAUAUUGUCAAAAAAUCAGCAGAAGAGAUAGUCAAAAUAUUGGUUUGACAAGAUUUUGCCUUUUCCUCUCUUGUGUUGCCUCCUAGAGGCUCCUUGCCAUCUGAGGAUAUGGCUUAUGGAGUCUGCUUUUGCUUCAGCCAUUCCAUUCAGCUACCUUCAUUUUUGGAUUACUCAGUAUGACCUCAUACCUAUGGUCUUUGGCUUUGAUGUAUUCCAUGCAAAUCAGUUACUUGUGAUGAUCACUCAUCUACCAAGAUUUCUCACCCACUUCUAUGACUUAACUACCCUUGUUUAUUGACCUAUACACUGGUAGACACAUCAUCUUCCUCCAAGUGUAAAUUCCAUUCAGUGCAUAAUAAAUAAUACUUGUAAGAGUAUGAGAAUAUAAAC